rnacentral:rRNA from 1 species
GCGGAGGAAAAGAAACCAACAGGGAUUGCCCCAGUAACGGCGAGUGAAGCGGCAACAGCUCAAAUUUGAAAUCUGGCCCCAGGCCCGAGUUGUAAUUUGUAGAGGAUGUUUCUGACGAGGUACCUUCCGAGUUCCCUGGAACGGGACGCCAUAGAGGGUGAGAGCCCCGUACGGUUGGUCGCCAAGUCUCUGUGAAACUCCUUCGACGAGUCGAGUAGUUUGGGAAUGCUGCUCUAAAUGGGAGGUAUACGUCUUCUAAAGCUAAAUAUAGGCCAGAGACCGAUAGCGCACAAGUAGAGUGAUCGAAAGAUGAAAAGCACUUUGAAAAGAGGGUUAAAUAGUACGUGAAAUUGUUGAAAGGGAAGCGCAUAUGACCAGACUUGGCCAGGUUAAUCAUCCAUCGUUCUCGGUGGUGCACUUUGCCUGGCCAGGCCAGCAUCAGUUCGCCUUGGGGGAUAAAGACUUCGGGAAUGUGGCUCCUUCGGGAGUGUUAUAGCCCGCUGUGUAAUACCCUGGGGUGGACUGAGGUUCGCGCAUCUGCAAGGAUGCUGGCGUAAUGGUCAUCUGCGACCCGUCUUGAAACACGGACCAAGGAGUCGUCUUCGUAUGCGAGUGUUCGGGUGUCAAACCCCUACGCGGAAUGAAAGUGAACGUAGGAGAGAGCUUCGGCGCAUCUCCGACCGAUCCUGAUGUUCUCGGAUGGAUUUGAGUAAGAGCAUACGGGGCCGGACCCGAAAGAAGGUGAACUAUGCCUGUAUAGGGUGAAGCCAGAGGAAACUCUGGUGGAGGCUCGCAGCGGUUCUGACGUGCAAAUCGAUCGUCAAAUAUGGGCAUGGGGGCGAAAGACUAAUCGAACCUUCUAGUAGCUGGUUUCCGCCGAAGUUUCCCUCAGGAUAGCAGUGUUGAACUCAGUUUUAUGAGGUAAAGCGAAUGAUUAGGGAAUCGGGGGCGCUAUAUAGCCUUCAUCCAUUCUCAAACUUUAAAUAUGUAAGAAGCCCUU